CCAAACACAAUGAAAAGGACUAGUACUAUUUUUGAUGCGUCAAAGCGAGUGGGGUUGGUGAAAGCCCAUACGAUAGAAAAUACGAAAAAUCACCUUGGAGUGGCAGACCGAACCUAAAUCUUUGAUUGAAGUAGGCUCUGACGGUUUCCUACCGUUACCGUAAGGAAAGGUAUAACGAGCGGCCUUUAUAGAAGGCAAAUCAGGUGGUACCGCGGAAGAUGACUUAUAGUGCUCUUUCGUCCUGUUG
rnacentral:ncRNA from 1 species